AAUUAUUUGUAUGUGUUUAAAAUUUUGGGUAAAAUAUCAAGUAUUUUCAAGUAAACAGGUUCAAGUCCAAUUCAAGUUCCAAGUUAUUGAUGCAACAGUCAAAGUCCAAGUCUCUGAACAUUUUUUCAAGUAAAGUCUAAAGUCUUAAUAUUAAUGA